CGUUCUGGCCACAGCAAGAUCAGCUGCUUGGAAGGAUCAGCUAUGGCAGAGUUCGAGGAGGUUUUGGCUUGCUGUGAGAAAGGGCUUUUCUGAAAAAGAAUAUUUCAAUUUUCCUUUAAUAAAGCAAAGGAAGUAGAGUGCAAGCCUGUUGGGUCAGCUGGGGGAGUGAAAUGCUCUUCACCUCUGCUGGUGGCUGCUGGAGGAGGUACUCGCACCCCACAGCCUUGGUGGGGUCUCCGCUCUGAAGCGUGUGGGGGGAGCCUGGCUGCUGUCUGGUGGGGUGGGUGUCCCUGCCUCUGCCAUAGACUCAGCCCUUGCCUGGACCAGCUGGCAGUCGUGAAGAUUAAAGAAAAGACUAAAUUAAACUUGCUGUGACAAGGUAUGAGCUUAGAUCCUUGAAUACGAAAGGAGUAGAGCUGGGAGCAAACAUCAAUGCUUGGGCUCUGCCCUUUGCUGGAUUUCUCCAAGGCAUCUCGGGUAUCUGUGGCAACAGCGCUGAUCCAGGAAGGCUCUGUUGUGCAGAGAGCAUCCGCCUCUUCGUCUGCUUUCCUGGUGAAUCUGGGAAGCUGGUGAGCGGAAGACCAGGAGCAGUUGACACGGGAGAGCUCUUUGACCUUUCCACCCCUUGUUUUGGUAAGGAAGGUGUACAGCAGCUCUUUUUCUUAACCCGGACACCCUUGCUGCUCCUCCUCUUUUUCCUCAGCUUCCUUCCUGGGUAUUUUCUGGCAGGAAGGCCACUCCAGGACGUGUUACCACGUGUGCCCAUGGAAAACCCUCUCUUUGGUCCUGUUUAGCAGCGUUGGACCCAGAGCUUGGGUUGAUGAAAAUGGCUGAUGGCAAAGAGGACCCUGCCGUGUUCACCUCCACUUCUCUGCCCUCAGACCCACGGCUGCUGGCUACGGUGACUAAUGCUUACCUGGGCACCCGUGUGUACCGGGACAUCCUCCACAUCAACGGCGUGUACAACGGGGCAGUGGGAGACACGCACCGUGCCGACAUCCCCAGCCCCGUUAACGUUAGGAUGAUGGUGCCUGGUGCGGACAGCCUGGCUGAGACCUUCACCUUGAACACCCGGACGGGAACCUUCAGCCAUGUGCUUCAGGCAACAGAUUAUGGAGCCACCCAUCAGAUCUAUGCUCACCACUCCCUUGUCCACUUGAUGGCCUUCAGCAUCACCAUCUGGCGAUCAGCUCACACCACCCAACCCAUCACAGUCCAGCUCCAGACUCCUUUUGUGCCAAAGAGCCAGGACUUGGACCUGAACCAAGGACCAGAUUUCCAGGGAGCACACUACGUCUACGGGAAGACGCUGGUUCCUGAGGUGGAGGGGGGACCCCGUCCCACAGUUCACAUGCUCUGGACUCCCGUGCCACAAACCUUGACGUUGUGCGGGGAGGAGCGGGAGCGAUCCUGGGAGUUCCUGACGGCUGUGGCCGAGAGCGAAGAGGAGGCGAAGAGGAGCUACAGCGAAGGGCUGGCCCUCGUCACUGCUGGCUCCCUGCACUCCUCCCAUGUCCACGCGUGGGCCAUGCUGUGGCGAGGCUGCUGCGUAGACCUGGAUGGACCUCUGCCUUUGAGGCAGGCCCUCUACGGGUGUCUCUACUACCUGCUGAGUGCCAUCCCGCCCCAGGGAAACCCGGGCUUCCUCUUCCACGGCAUCAGCCCUGGCGGCUUGUCCAACGGCACUCAGGGCGAGGACUACUGGGGGCACGUCUUCUGGGACCAGGACACCUGGAUGUUCCCAAACAUUCUGCUGUUUUAUCCUGAAGCUGCCAGAGCCAUCCUGGAGUACCGGAUUCGCACGCUGGAAGGGGCCUUACGCAAUGCACAGGAGCAAGGCUACAAGGGUGCUAAGUUCCCAUGGGAGAGUGCAGCCACCGGCCGGGAAGUCUGCCCUGAAGAGAUCUAUGGAGCCCAAGAAAUCCAUAUCACUGGGGAUGUUUUGAUGGCUUUUGAGCAGUAUUAUUGCACCACGCAGGACCAGAAGCUGUUCAGGGAAGAUGGAGGCUGGAAGCUGGUGGAUGCUGUGGCUCAGUACUGGUGCAGCAGGAUGGUAUGGAGCGAGGAGGAGCAAUGCUACCACAUCAAAGGUGUCAUGCCCCCAGAUGAGUAUCAUUACCGGGUUGAUAACUCUGUUUACACCAACGCCGUGGCCCAGCGGAGCUUAAAUUUUGCAGCUGAUAUUGCUCGGGACUUCUUGAUCCCUGUGCCAGAGGAGUGGGUGGACUGUGCCAAGAAAAUCAAAGUGCCCUUUGAUGCAGAGAAGAAAUAUCAUCCGGAGUACGAUGGUUACAGCCCAGGUGAACCUGUGAAACAAGCUGACGUUGUCUUGCUUGGAUUCCCACUGAUGCACCCCAUGAGCUCUGAAGUCCGGAGAAAUGACCUGGAGAUGUAUGAAUCCGUCACUGAGCUGGAUGGGCCAGCCAUGACCUGGAGCAUGUUUGCAGUGGGCUGGCUGGAGCUAAAGGAGGUGCAGAGAGCCCAGAGCCAACUGAACAAGUGUUUCAGCAACAUCACAGAGCCCUUCAAGAUCUGGGUGGAGAACUCAGAUGGGUCAGGAGCUGUGAACUUCUUGACCGGGAUGGGUGGAUUCUUGCAAGCUGUCCUCUUUGGCUACACAGGGUUCAGGGUCACAAGGUCCAGCCUCCGCUUCAACCCUGCCCUUCCCAAUGACAUCAACAAGUUGAAAGUCACCGGUGUCUCCUACUUUGGCAACAAACUGAAGUUCACCAUCGCCAAAGAAGAGAUCAGGAUCAAAGUGAUCGAGUCUCGCCAGGACCCCCUGGCACCUCCCCUGGAAGCUGUGCUGGAGGAGUCGGGGCAGUGGUUUCCCCUGCGUGAAGGGCAGAGCAUCUCUAUCCCCAUGGCAGCCGGCUGGAUUCAGAGGUCAUCCACUGAGAUAUUUUAAAACUUGGCUGAUCCGGGUUUUACCCACCGAAGAAGCAGAAACAAGUUGAAGAGUGGAUGUCAGUGGAGGGGGAAGAGGAGACAACAUCAAGUCUGAAAGCGACUGUUUUAAACCAGUUUUCUAAACACCCAUGACUUGCAGAUGUUGAAAGCAUAAACAUUUAUAAGGAUGCCCCAAGCUGAAUGGAUCUGUAUUUAGUCCAGCCUGUACAGGCACUGUCUCCCAGCUCCUCUGGCAUGUCCUGGCUUGGUCCUCACCUUCUCCCAGCCACCUGCGUCACUCCGGGGGCUCAAAGGGCUGUGGAGGCUCAGCCACCGCUGCUUUGCCAUGUCAGUCCCACCUGCCAGCGAGCAGAAAGAGGAGGAUCCCUCGGCUGCGACGCACAGCAGCCUCUGGGGUUUUCAAUACACCCCAAAUCCUGCUGACCCCCGUAAUGAGAAACUCAGUAAAAGCAGCAUGGGGCAGCAGGCAGCGUGGCAGGGUGGAUGGAAGUAAGGCUGGAGUUGAGUGUUACUUUGGCACUAAUGUUAGUCACAAAAUACACAGCCAAAAGCAUUUUAGCCCCAUUUGGGCAGCACACAGCUCCUUUUCUUUUGAGUUAUUUGGCGUAUAAAAUCCCUAUCGUGUUAUCUACAUUAUCAUCUCUCUUUUCAAGCAGUUUUGGAGUUAAAGCCCUUCAAACUUGACAUUUGAAGGGCUAUAGGAAGCCCAGGCAUCAGUUAUCAUUAAUAUUAUGUCAGAUGGUAAGUGCAGAGUUUUUCUGGGGUCUGAGCAGAGUCCUCCUCUGGCUAAGCAGCCUCAGGGAAAGCACAGACCUGCUGUGUAUUUGUUAAAGGCAUUUUUGGUGUCCUAGAAAGCCCCAAGGGAGAGGAGAAGGGCUGUGCCCAUGUACACAUGCAAAUGGGGGCCAUGAUGCCCCCCCAACACACAGCUUACACCUCGCAGCAUUGUCCCCUCCUGCAUCCCCCUUCCUGGGGGUGGGUUUGGUGCCUCGUUUCCCAGCCCCAAGCCUUUGCUAGAGCAGACGUGGGUCAAAGCGAGGGGAUGUCGAAGGCAUUCCCUGCCCUGCCAAGGUCUGUCCUUUCUCAAAAAACCCCAGGAACCUCAGCUGAAUCCCACGGAGUUUAUAAAAAGCCCUGCGGCCACUCCCUGCUACAGGCAGCAUGUGGGAACGCUUAGGGAAGGAGGCAAAGUGACUCCCCCACCUUAUAAUUAUGCUGGCUCUCCAUCAGGCCUCGUCAAAAGUCACCCAACCCCUAAUUAGCAGCAGUCCUCAGCAGCAGGGCAGGACAAAGGGACCCCUCCGUUCCCUCACCCCUGAUAACAGCCCUGUGGGCUGCACCUGGAUUUGGAUUUUGAUGGGGCUGGGGAUAAAGCCCAGCUCUGAGCCGCAUCUCAGAUGGCAUUAAAAGGGGUCUCCCCUCCCCCUAAAAAGGCAUCCUUUUAGUCCAGUUGCCAAAACGAGCUGGCUCUGGCCCAGGGAGGGCAAUAGGGAGGGAUAGCACAGAGCAAUGGGCUUGCAUCCUGCACUCAUCCCCUCUGUCCUUGCCUGGGGACCUGCUGGGGGACAUCUGCUUUACUGCAAUGAGUUUGCAAGUCUCAGCUCCCCUUGGAGGGGAUGACAUCUCAUCUGCUUGAGCAUGUCCCCACAGGGCCAAGAAACUUUUCUGCUUUCCCCUCGUCAGUCACUGGGUGGCUCUAAGGCUCACAGAGAUUAUUCUCUUGGCUGCGAAGAGCACGAUCAGAGUGGAAAAGCUGUAUUUAUAUUAUCCCUGUAGCACCCCCCCCCUGCACUG